CGGCGUUUGUCCACAGACAGCUUUCCAGGUCAUGUGGCCAGCAUGACUAAACCGCUUCUGCCGCAACAGAACAUUGUGACAGAAACCAGCAUUCCUUACGAUAGGUUCAGGAUACAGCAGGCACUAGGACACACACACACACACACACCCGAAAGUAGCUAGUGGUCACCACGGAACCUCAUUUUAUCACCUGCCUAUUCUGAGGUAGAUUGGGCUCUCAGUCCCAUAAACUCCUUAACUGAAGAGGGGUUUGAUCUUGGAUCUCCCUUCUGAAACCUCAGGCCUGACUGCUGAACCCAUGAUUUGUUUUGUUGUGGGUUAGCAUGACUGGCUGAUUAUAAAGGUUUUAACAUCCAGCUGGAUUUGGCUUAUCGCCAAAUACUGGGAUUGGUGCUUUUGAGGGCAAAACAGAGCAAUGAUAAUAAAUGGCUCACCGUUUAUUUUUUUAUGAGAUAUGGGCUGUACCCUUUAAUAGCAGCUAAGCAAGGCUUUCCUGUCUGCCUCGACAGUGGGAUCAGUCAAAGCCAUGUCUAGCAGUCAGGAAGAAACCACUCCUGUGAUGGACAGGCUACAGACACACGGAAACUGUUGCCCGAGGGUUGACAGACUUGCGUCCCCAACAACACACCAUAUAAAACAGAGAUGGCACUUCCUUCUGUUGUACCUCAGGCAGAAACAAGGAAAGGGGGAAAGAACAAUGUGGGUGACAUUCACUGAAUAUUGCAAUACUACCUGAGGUUAAAAAGAUGAGAGUUAAAGGCAUUCAUGCUACUGUGGAGGCCUGCAAUGUGCUAUUGGAGGUGGUAAUCCUAUACGUACGUACCUGGGAUUAAGUUGCAUUGAACUCAGUGGGACUCACUUCUUAAUAAACAUGCAUUGGGUGUGAUCAGAGUUGUAGCUCAACAACAUGGCGGUGGGAGACCAUAGAGUUGGUUACCUCUUCUUAAAGUCUUGUUCUCAUUUUGAUGUUGUUUCCAUUAUUAUGAAUCAGCCUCUGAAUCCAAACCCAGUAUUGGCCGUUCUAUCACUAGACAGUGCUCUAGACCAUGGGUCGGCAAACUAAGGCCCGUGGGCCAGAUCAGGCCCAAUUGCCUUCUGGAUCCGGCCCGCGGAUGGUCCGGGAAUCGCCAUGUGGAUCGCCAGUUUGUGCGUUCUUUCCCUCUCCCUCCCUCUCCCUCACGCGGCACCUCCUCCCUCCCUCCUCCUGGCUUCUCCCUGCCCUGCCUAGAGGAGGAAGGGGGCUGGGCUUUGUUGGUGCCAGCAGCAGCAGCGCUUGAGCGGUCGCCAUUUUAAGCAGCCCCUCUCCAGAGCCCUUUCGGCACGACUCAUCGUCCCCCCACCGCUGCCAGCUCCUGCCGCUCACAAGACACAGGUAAGCAGCCACUGGGGCUCGUGGUGAUCUUGCCUCAUUUUCCCCCAAAAAAUAUAGUCCGGCCCCCCACAAGGUCUGAGAGACAGUGGACCGGCCCCCUGCUGAAAAAAAUUGCUGACUCCUGCUCUAGACCCUCCCCUUAUAAAGAUCAUGUUGGAAUUUUGGAAGCCAAGAUUGAAGUUUCAGGCAAGCUUUCUUUGGUGAGAGAACCCUAGUGUCAUAGUCCUGUGCUGCCAGCCAUGGCAGAGCUCAGUGGAGGGAGAAGCCAGCUGAAGCUCAGGGGGUACUUGCCUGGAGGCAGAGUUGGUAUACAAGGUCCAGUCCAGUCCAGUCCUAAGAUUAGGCGUAUCUCAGUUCACGUAGUCAGACAAUCCAGGGGUCAAGAAAGACAAGAGUCCAAGGUCACAAGAAGCAUGAAGCAGCAAGGUCUGGCCAGGAAUGACAGGUGUUGUUUCCAACAACUGACUGAGGUUGAAAACCCAGCUUAAGAUAGUUGGUUCUCCUCAGGAGCAAGAAGGCUGAUCAGCAGCAGGUGGAGUCAUUCUGCCUUCUGCUUCUUCGACUUCUGGCCCAUGACACCCAGCGAAGAUUUACCAUCACAAAACAUGCAGGAAAGUAAAGGGUGGAAAUAUAGUCUGUAAAACCUUUAAAAUGUGCCCUUCCAGUGAGCCCCCCAAUAUCCCCCUUUAAAAGCUAUUUCCAAGCUAUCCCACUUCACUAGCAUACAGUAGAGCUAGAUCACAUGUUUGGUAAGUCAUAAAACACUUUACUUACAAAACUCUUCAAAGUUAGUUUCAUGUGCUUUUCCAUGCAGCAGU
rnacentral:lncRNA from 1 species